rnacentral:rRNA from 1 species
UACGUAGGUGGCAAGCGUUGUCCGGAAUUACUGGGCGUAAAGAGCGCGCAGGCGGCUGGUCAAGUCCGAUGUGAAAGCUUCCGGCUUAACUGGGAAAUUGCAUCGGAAACUGAUCGGCUUGAAGGUGGGAGAGGGUAGUGGAAUUCCCGGUGUAGUGGUGAAAUGCGUAGAUAUCGGGAGGAACACCAGUGGCGAAGGCGACUACCUGGCCCACUCUUGACGCUGAGGCGCGAAAGCUAGGGGAGCGAACGGGG